CCCUCCUACAAAGGCGUGUCUGAGGCUCUCAGUCUUCAGACACGUAAGAACUGGAGGUAAAGAAAUGUGGACUUGGAGAAGUCUCGGGCUAGCUUAUUCUCUGCAGGCCCAAGAUCAACCUUCCCACAAAG
ensembl:snoRNA